CACUCCUCCUCUCCAAUGAAGAUUUCAGGUCGGGCGCGGGUCGAGCAGGAGCGGCUGCUGCAGAGAGGGAAGCAGAGGAACACAUCAUGGUGAGCUCCUGCCCCGGUGGCUACCCGCAGAGGAGGAGAGGUCUAAGAUGGCUCCCAUCUCAUGGCAGAGAGGCCGACACAAAUAUUGUUUGGGUGACGGUUGAUUCCUACACCGAGUUGUCUUGCUAUACAAAUAGCUCUCUUAUUUGGUGGUGCCAUGGUGUCCCUCUCCAGGUUCUACAGCGGGCAAUGCUCGAGUUAAGAGUUGGGUGCAUAGCAUAUAUAUACAUAUGUUGCCACGUCUGAAUAAACGGAGAGGAGCAGCAGCAGCGGAGAGGAGAUCUUGCUGAGUAACCAUACUUGUUUGAAGAUUAGCAGAUUUCUCUGAAUGUGCAAGCAGCCAUUGCUACCAAAAGAGAAUGAAAGUACUGCAAAGGGCCAAUGUUGCAUAGCCUUUACCCACUCUGCACUGUCAUAACAUCUCAAGGUGAGAGAUCCUUGCUGCUAGAUUCUUCUCCUCGGGUGGUUCUAACUCCAUCGGCUAGCAUUGUUGGAGUUAUUAGAGGUGUUUUAUAGUUGAUUGAUUCUUAAUGUUGAUGUGGCAGUAGCGACUACUCCCGGUACAUUUUUUGUUGAUCACGAGCAACACCAAGAGAGAUCUUUGCUAUUUGCAGUGGCUUGUUGGGGUUGAAGGAUGAAGCAAAUCCCAAGUAAGGAACAGGUUAACCUAUCUUGAUGCGUACUGCUGCUCUUGAUACACAUCAAGAUUUGAUUUAGAUGAAGCUAAUAAUGAAAAGUGUCAUCAGUGUGCCGUUAUAUGUAUUAUCGACCAAUACAUGUCUAGCAUUACUCGGAUAACAGAUCAAUAAUAGAAAGUUGUUUAAUGUGGAUUUCCCUUUUUUGGCCUA